AUGUUGAUGGCCUCUGCUGCAAGAAGCAGCACGCCGCAGCUUCUCCUGUUCCUUUACGCUGGCUGCGUCCCCCUUUUCAUGUCGAGUAAUGCUCCUCAGCAUCUCGUAGCAGCUGCCAACUCGCCGUUCUCCUUCAGCUUCGACUUCUCCACCAUAUCCACCUCCCGCUUAGAAGACCUCCAACUCGAGGGCGAUGCGGCCCAGCACGGGAAGUUAGUCGACCUGACCUGCUACUCUCUCACGCAGAGAAUCCCCUACGGCAACUGCACGGGGCGGAUGGUGUACGCUCACCCGGUGCCCUUCUAUGACAGUACCACCGGUGAGGUGUCGAGCUUCACCACGCGGUUCACCUUCGCGAUCGGGCCCAACGCCGGUGGCGGCAAGGAGGGUGGCAUGGCUUUCUUCCUCUCCAGCUACCCUUCAAGAUUGCCACCAGACUCAAGCGGGGGCGACCUUGGUCUCCCUGGUAAUGACGGCCUGAGCCAAGCCUAUGGCACAGACCGGUUCAUCGCCGUUGAGUUCGACACAUUGAGCAACACCUGGGAUCCAAGGGGCACCCAGGACCAUAUCGGCAUCGACAUCAACACUGUUAGGCAGUCGGUUAACACGACAAGCUUGCCCACCUUCAGCUUGAACGGCUCUAUGACGGCGUCCAUCACCUUUGACAGCAAUACCAAGAUGCUUGUCGCCUCCCUGCAGUUUGAUGACCGUCCUUCUGUCGGCCCUGUUGAGGUAAGCACCAUGUUGCCAGAUCCCGUCACGUCCUUGCUACCGUCGGAGGUGGCAAUUGGGUUUUCUGCGGCCACCGGUGAAUCCUUCCAGCUCCAUCAGAUACUGUCAUGGUCCUUCAACUCAACUCUUGCAACUCACGCAGGUUGGUCACAUGGUAGGUGGAGAGUCAAAAGAAAUUCCUUAGUGUUGGGAACAACCGGACUUAGGCGAUUUGAGCACAGAGAGUUGGCCAGGGCAACAAACAAGUUCUCGGAGAAAAGCAAGCUUGGAGUCGGUGCCUUUGGUGCAGUAUAUAAGGGGAGUUACAAGGAUGAGGAAGGCAGGCAAUUAGAAGUUGCUGUGAAGAAAAUAAAGCAGACUGCAGGAAGGGAUUUCAGCGACGAACUCAAGACGAUUAGUGCAACGAGGCACAUGAAUCUAGUCGAGCUGAAAGGUUGGUGCUGCAGCCGAAACAAAUCAGCCUGUGUCGGUUUCUGCUGUUGCGGUUGUCGGCAAAAGGUCAAAUGUUUCCUUGUAUAUGAAUUGGUACCUAACGGCGACCUGGAGUACCACCUGAAGAAUGUUCUACCAUGGGAGAAGAGGUACAAAAUAGCAAAGGGGAUAGGGUCUGGUAUAACUUAUCUCCACCACGGAUGCAAGCGGUGCAUCUUGCACAGAGAUAUCAAACCAAGCAACAUACUCUUGGACAAUGAGUUCAACCCCAAGCUUGGUGACUUCGGGCUAUCGAGGAUCACUGACAAGGAUAGUACCAUGCUGAUGACAACUGCUGUCGGGACGUUGGGGUACAUGGAUCCACAAUGCAUUAAAGAUGGGGAGGUAGAGUACAACUGUAGGUCCGACGUCUACAGCUUUGGAAUUGUUCUACUAGAGAUUGCAUGUGGAAAGAAGCCCAGGGAGCAAAUCCAGCUGGAGGAGCUGAGGAGCAGCGGAACUGAAGCCCAGUUUCUGGAGAAUGUCGCUGAUGCCAAACUAAAUGGCGACUAUAACAUGAAAGAGAUGCAGCGCAUGGUUUUCCUGGGACUCAGGUGCUCUCACCCAGUUAGGCAACAACGUCCUUACAUGAAGGAUGCAAUGAAAUACCUGGAGGACGGCAUAGAGUUGCCUGCUAUAACUGAAAGACAGAGCCACCAGGGUGCAUAUGGCACUAUUUGCUCUGACGAGCAGGCACUUAUGUCACCUAGUGCUGUGUCUUCCUGUUAG
rnacentral:rRNA from 1 species